CGCCAUGGCGGAGCCCGCCUGAGGGAUCCGUCCCCUCAGGGGCGCGAAGGGCGGGAUGGCGGAGCCCGCCUGAGGGAUCCGUCGCCUGAGAGACAGAGAUCCAUCCCCUCUGGAGCGCCCCUCCAGCGGCGGUGUGAGGGAGCACCACACUCCUCGCUUCUGUUCUUCGUGGGCUUACAAUACUUGCAAACCGAGGGCAAGAGCUCUGCUCGUACCUUAAAAUUGAGAAGUUCAUGUGCCGUUCUGCAGGGACUGCAGCCUGUCAGGGGAACCCGAAGUCCAUCCCAAAUUGUUCAGCUUCAGGGCUAUACACCCAGAAAAGACUAGAAUUAUUUUAAACACUAUCCGUCACGGCUACUCUUUCAUAUAAAAUAAAGUGUUUUUUCAAGGGCCACGUCUGUUUUGCACAAGUAGGAAAACAAGGCUGCGUGAAGCAAAGGUGUUUGCCCCAUGCUAGUGGUGGAAUUGGGGGCAAAAAGCACAAAGACUCACGACUGGCUCACUGGCCCAGCCACGUGUCCUGAAAAUUGGCUGUAGAUGAGCUUUGGGAGGGAUUUCUCUUACUUUCAUAAAUCACAGGUACAGGUCACUCCUUGCACUGUGGUUGCUGUGUUCUGUGCUGGUGGUGGGAAGAUACAAGACUUGCAGGAGAUAAUGGGACAGACCAGCAGAGGACACUGGAAAAAAAACAAAAGAAGAGCAGAAAAUCCCUCAAAACCAGAUUUCCAUCUUUCUGCAGAGUCCUCAGUUUCCAAUCCGGAGAUCUCUUUGGGCCCAAGUGUGCCCACAACUAGGGGUGGAAUGGGAGGUGGGUGCAGCAUUGUGGUAACAUCCAAAACUGUCCUGAUUUCCUGACUUUGUAUCCCUGAUCCUUUACCUUGCCCAGGUCAUUCGCAGCUGAUGGUUAGCAGACUCCAAGUCCUUUUAUUGCAGCUGUGACUCACUGAAAACAAGGAUCAGACACACCUUUUCCAUGAAAACCCUGCUGAACUGACUGCCCCAGCGCUUCAGGACUUGGAUGAGGAUUGUAGGCUUAGUGACUGCAGCUUCCCAGGGCUGAGGUCACUCGUGAGGAGCAUUUUUGGGCAUGUGCUGGUGCCAUACGUCAUCCUGGCUGCCCCUGCCUCUCCAAGGAUGCCAGAUUUGAUGUGCAUCAGAGAUUCCACUGCGCUGGAGAAUUUCCAUGGUGCAUUUCCAUGACUCACUAUUCAUGCCAGCUGAUUCAUCUGUGUGACACUACUGUGUGUUUUCUUGUGGUGUGGAAACAUCCUCUUUUAUCCCCCUCUGUGGAGCAAUUCUGACAGUAGCCCUUGCAAACCAGACAAAAUGGGGAAAAGGAUCCAGAAGUCGUGGCUUUGCACAGCGGUGUCCUUCUUCCUGCUCUAUGCAUGCUGUUUUUCCAGCUGAAUAUUAGCUCUGGAGGAUUUUUCUCUAACUCUCCUCCUUGCAAACACCCACUCGGUAUUAGGCCUUACCUACACUCGACUGUUUUCCAAGUUUGGAACUAGUUAGUGCUGUGCUUUUCUGCGAGCAGGGUUUGGAUCUGCACAGUAAUGCUCGUUCCGUAACCAUGGCAGCUCAGGGUGACUCACGCUGCCACAGGCCUGGGCCCAACUUAGCAGGAGGAUUAUUCUCCCCUCUGUCACCAGCUCAGCAGGCUGAGAAGCUGGAGCUUCUCCCCACAGUUGCAUAACUGAGCCCUCAGGUUGGCGUUCCUUCGGGGACAACGCCAGGACACGGUGCCCUGCUGUGCCCUGGAGCCUCCCUGCCAGGCUCCCAUCGGAGCUGGUUCCCCAGCCUGGUUAACGAGGGUGCUGCACACACUGAGCUGACCUGUGGGUUUGGGAUCAACACACGUGCUGGGAACAUACAACACAAGAAACCCAAAAAGGACUUCAGCACAAGGACAGAAAAUCUCAGAAACAAAACAAGCAAAGGGGAAGAAAAAAACCACCAUAAUCAGCAGGAAAUUCAGGAGAGAGUUUCAGUUCUCAGAGAGUAGCAAAGAGCUGAGAGACGCUGGAUAACAUCAGUUAAUGCUUUGAGGGCGACAUGCCAGGGAAAGCACCGAUCCCAGGAGGUAACUCCGACCUUAUGCAUGUGAUUAAUGUGUAUUAAUCUCCCCAAAGGCACAAUGGCAGGUGGAGAACUACCUGAACCUAAUCAGAUAACAGAAUGGAGCCACCAAACAAUGGUGACACCGCCACAGUGAGUCACCAGAAAGGCUCUCUGGCUCAUGCAGGCAAGUGCUGCACAGGUGACCCUUCCAGUUUUCAUCCUGAAGAGCCAGAAAAAGAUUAAACUGCAAAAUUAGCACUCUGAGGAAUGAGAGGCGAAGGAAAAGCUUGUCAAAUCACAGAGCGACAUGCUCCGAGGGAUAAGAGUCAAAGGAAAAGCUGCUGAACCCAGAGAAAAAUGGGAUUUAAAAAAAAGAAAAGAAAGAUCUCAGGGUAAUAAUAAUUAAAAACAAAAAAUCUA